rnacentral:misc_RNA from 1 species
GAUGAAGAACGUAGCGAAAUGCGAUAAGUAAUGUGAAUUGCAGAAUUCAGUGAAUCAUCGAAUCUUUGAACGCACCUUGCGCCCUUUGGCCAUUCCGAAGGGCAUGCCUGUUUGAGUAUCAUGAACACCUCAACUCUUUAUGGUUUUCCAUGAUGAGCUUGGACUCUGGGGGUUUUGCUGGCUCACAGUCGGCUCCUCUAAAAUGAAUCAGCUUACCAGUGUUUGGUGGGUAUCAUGGGUGUGAUAACUAUCUACGCUUGUGGUUUUUCCACCAGGUACCUUCAGCAGUGGAGGUUCGCUGGAGCUCAUAGAUGUCUCUCCUCAGUGAGGACAGCCCUUUGAAUGUUUGAUCUCAAAUCAGGUAGGACUACCCGCUGAACUUAAGCAUAUCAAUAAGCGGAGGA